rnacentral:rRNA from 1 species
UGCAAGUCGAGCGGACAGAAGGGAGCUUGCUCCCGGAUGUUAGCGGCGGACGGGUGAGUAACACGUGGGUAACCUGCCUGUAAGACUGGGAUAACUCCGGGAAACCGGAGCUAAUACCGGAUAGUUCCUUGAACCGCAUGGUUCAAGGAUGAAAGACGGUUUCGGCUGUCACUUACAGAUGGACCCGCGGCGCAUUAGCUAGUUGGUGAGGUAACGGCUCACCAAGGCGACGAUGCGUAGCCGACCUGAGAGGGUGAUCGGCCACACUGGGACUGAGACACGGCCCAGACUCCUACGGGAGGCAGCAGUAGGGAAUCUUCCGCAAUGGACGAAAGUCUGACGGAGCAACGCCGCGUGAGUGAUGAAGGUUUUCGGAUCGUAAAGCUCUGUUGUUAGGGAAGAACAAGUGCAAGAGUAACUGCUUGCACCUUGACGGUACCUAACCAGAAAGCCGACGAGCGAACUAGCGUGCCAGCAGCCGAACAGGAUUAGAUACCCUAGGUAGUCAAGCGUUGUCCGGAAACGAUUGAGUGCGUAAAGGGCUCGCAGGCGGUUUCCGCCCCUUAAGUGCUGCAUGCUAACGCAUUAAGCACUCCGGCUCAACCGGGGAGUACGGUCAUUGCAAGACUGGGAAACUCAAAUGCAGAAUUGACGGAGAGUGCCCGAAUUCAAGCGGUGGAGCAUGUGAUUUAAUGCGAAGCAGACGCGAAGGAACCUUACCAGUGGCUUGAAGGCGACUCUCUGGUCUGACAACCCUAGACGAUGAGGAGCUUUCCCUUCGGGGACAGAGUGACAGGUGGUGCAUGGUUGUCGUCAGCUCGUGUCGUGAGAUGUUGGGUUAAGUCCCGCAACGAGCGCAACCCUUGAUCUUAGUUGCCAGCAUUCAGUUGGGCACUCUAAGGUGACUGCCGGUGACAAACCGGAGGAAGGUGGGGAUGACGUCAAAUCAUCAUGCCCCUUAUGACCUGGGCUACACACGUGCUACAAUGGACAGAACAAAGGGCUGCGAGACCGCAAGGUUUAGCCAAUCCCACAAAUCUGUUCUCAGUUCGGAUCGCAGUCUGCAACUCGACUGCGUGAAGCUGGAAUCGCUAGUAAUCGCGGAUCAGCAUGCCGCGGUGAAUACGUUCCCGGGCCUUGUACACACCGCCCGUCACACCACGAGAGUUUGCAACACCCGAAGUCGGUGAGGUAACCUUUAUGGAGCCAGC